ACCGAUUUUGAUAAAGAACAACUAAACACGUUUCACACUGGACCUUUAAGCGUGAUUAUUACAAUGGAUAGAUAACAGAU